UGAACAAAGCAAAAAUUAGGGUUUUCUUUGUGUUGCCGACCAACGACGAUGAUUUACGACGUGAAUUCGCCGCUUUUCCGAUCCUUCCUCAGCCAGAAGGGAGGCGCAUCUGACAAGAGGAAAACCGAAGAGCAGAAGCCCAAGGAACAGAGGCCAAAAGCAAGUGAAAACAAACCUGUUAUGAAUGAGUGAAAGCUGCCAGAUGUUUAACUUAUUUUAGCAUAUCUGGAAUGUUGUUAAGCAACUCUUUUACAAGAUGUGGAAUAUGUACUGAAUUUGACAUUUAAAUGGAUCAUAUAUCUUUUAAGAUAUUUGAUCCUUUACUUCUAUUGGUUUUAAAUUUGCGAUCCAAGCUUUUGAUUUUG
rnacentral:misc_RNA from 1 species